rnacentral:rRNA from 1 species
AUUGAACGCUGGCGGCAGGCCUAACACAUGCAAGUCGAACGGUAACAGAAAGCCUCUUGCUGCUUUUCUGACGAGUGGCGGACGGGUGAGUAAUGUCUGGGAAACUGCCUGAUGGAGGGGGAUAACUACUGGAAACGGUAGCUAAUACCGCAUAACGUCGCAAGACCAAAGAGGGGGACCUUCGGGCCUCUUGCCAUCGGAUGUGCCCAGAUGGGAUUAGCUAGUAGGUGGGGUAAAGGCUCACCUAGGCGACGAUCCCUAGCUGGUCUGAGAGGAUGACCAGCCACACUGGAACUGAGACACGGUCCAGACUCCUAAGGGAGGCAGCAGUGGGGAAUAUUGCACAAUGGGCGCAAGCCUGAUGCAGCCAUGCCGCGUGUAUGAAGAAGGCCUUCGGGUUGUAAAGUACUUUCAGCGGGGAGGAAGGGAGUAAAGUUAAUACCUUUGCUCAUUGACGUUACCCGCAGAAGAAGCACCGGCUAACUCCGUG